GCUGGGUGUGGUGGUGCACGCCUGUAAUCCUGCUACUGGGGAGGCUGAGGCAGGAGAAUGGCUUGAACCCAGGAGAUGGAGGUUGCAGUGAGCCGAUUGUGCCACUGCGCUCCAACCUGGGUGACAGAGCAAGACUCCGUCUCAC
rnacentral:SRP_RNA from 1 species